ensembl:lncRNA
GUUUAUUUUGAUUCAUGGUUUCAGUCCAUUGUCAGAGGGCUUCAAGACAGAAAUAUCAGAGGAAGGGCAUGGUAGACAAAGCUACUUAUGACAGCUGGGAAGCACAGAGGGCAAGUAAGGAGAGACGAUGGACAGUGAGUGAGUCAAGGGCUAGUGACAGAAUAUAUCCCUCAUCGCUUCUCGGCCUUUUGGCUAAGAUCAAGUGCAGAAUAUAUCCUUUAAAGCCACACUCCCAGUGACCCCCCCCACCUCCUCCAACCAGGCCCCACCUCCUAACAGUACCUUCAGUUAUGAACUCACCAAUGGAUCAGUCCACUGAUGAGGUCAGUGUCCCCAUGAUCUACUACCUUCCAAAAGCCCCACCUCUGAACCUUCUAGGGAACAUUUUUCUAAACCAUAAUAUAUCAGAUAGGUGGGAGGCUGAGACAGGAAGAUCACAAGUUCAAGGCCAGCCUCAGCAAUUUAGCAAGACCUUGCCUCAAAAAUUAAAAAUGGGCUGAGGAUGUAGCUCAGUAGCAGUGCAAGCACAUGGCUGUGGGUUCAAUCCCUAGUACUGCAAUAAAUAAAUAAAUUAAUUAAAACCUGACCUUCUGCAUUCACAAAGACUAGACAUACCACAUUCCUGUCUGUUUUCUUGCCAAAUACACAGAAGGAAAAAAAGAGUGCUUCAUCUUUUUAACUCAAGAUUUCCCAUGCUGCUUCUCACCUACCCCCAGCAAGCUCUGCUCCUCUUGGCCGGCCAUUUUCUUCUCUGUAGUGACAGCUAGAUCUGCCUCUGGAGAGACAGUUCACCUCCGAUGCAGGUGCUCACUGACGCUGGCUUUCCAACAGCCAGCAAAGGCACAAUGAAGUACUGGCUGCAACAUAAGCUCCUGCACCAGGGGCCAAAGGAAAACUUAACAACAUUAUUAACUGUAUCUGCUAAGUCUUUUAGCCCACGCUGCCUAUUUUUAAAUAUUUUUGGAAUUUAAAAAAAAAUACAUAUAAGAGGAAUUAUUUAUCAACAAUCUUUUGGGAAAUGAAAUGCCAAAAACUUGCUCUG